CCUUCGGGGGAACGAUAACGGCGUCGAGCGGCGGACGGGUGAGUAAUGCCUAGGAAAUUGCCCUGAUGUGGGGGAUAACCAUUGGAAACGAUGGCUAAUACCGCAUGAUGCCUACGGGCCAAAGAGGGGGACCUUCGGGCCUCUCGCGUCAGGAUAUGCCUAGGUGGGAUUAGCUAGUUGGUGAGGUAAGGGCUCACCAAGGCGACGAUCCCUAGCUGGUCUGAGAGGAUGAUCAGCCACACUGGAACUGAGACACGGUCCAGACUCCUACGGGAGGCAGCAGUGGGGAAUAUUGCACAAUGGGCGCAAGCCUGAUGCAGCCAUGCCGCGUGUGUGAAGAAGGCCUUCGGGUUGUAAAGCACUUUCAGUCGUGAGGAAGGUGGUGUAGUUAAUAGCUGCAUUAUUUGACGUUAGCGACAGAAGAAGCACCGGCUAACUCCGUGCCAGCAGCCGCGGUAAUACGGAGGGUGCGAGCGUUAAUCGGAAUUACUGGGCGUAAAGCGCAUGCAGGUGGUUUGUUAAGUCAGAUGUGAAAGCCCGGGGCUCAACCUCGGAAUAGCAUUUGAAACUGGCAGACUAGAGUACUGUAGAG
rnacentral:rRNA from 1 species